rnacentral:rRNA from 1 species
UAGCGUAUAUUAAAGUUGUUGCGGUUAAAAAGCUCGUAGUUGGAUUUCUUCUGAAUACCGUCGGUCCACCUUUUGGGUGAGUAUCUGAUUGGGGUUCGGAAUCUGCUCAGGAUACGUCUCUGCGCUUGAUUGCGUGGAACGGAAUCUGGGCCUUUUACUUUGAGGAAAUUAGAGUGUUCACGGCAGGCAAUCGCCUUGAAUAUAUUAGCAUGGAAUAAUACUAUAGGAUCUUGGUUCUAUUUUGUUGGUUUCUAGGGCUAAGAUAAUAAUCAAUAGGGACAAUUGGGGGCAUUCGUAUUAACACGUC